rnacentral:rRNA from 1 species
GUGGUCGUGUUGUCGGCAAGGGCGCAUGGUGGAUGCCUUGGCAGACAGGACCGAUGAAGGACGCGUGGGGCCGCGAUAGGCCUCGGGGAGCCGCCGACAGGGCUUUGAUCCGAGGGUGUCCGAAUGGGGUAACCCGCCGGCCGUGAUGGGCCGGCACCGCAUUCGUGCGGGGGGUACGCAGGGAAGUGAAACAUCUCAGUACCUGCAGGAAAGGAUAUUCCGUGAGUAGUGGCGAGCGAAAGCGGAUGAUGGCCAAACCGGUGCCGUGCGAGACCCGUCGGGGGUUGCGGCAUGGGUGUUGUGGGACUUGGCGUCCGGGCUCCGACGGGCCCGGCGGCAGUGAUAAAGCGGCGUGUGAGGCGAACGGGAUUGAAUUCCCGGCCGUAGAGGGUGAUGGCCCCGUAGCCGAAGGCGCGCCGCCUGCCGGUUCUUGUUCCCAAGUAGCGCGGGACUCGUGGAAUCCCGUGUGAAUCGGCCCCGACCGUGGGGUAAGCCUGAAUAUUCCUGUCUGACCGAUAGCGUACGAGUACCGUGAGGGAAAGGUGAAAAGCACCCCGGGAGGGGAGUGAAAGAGUUUCUGAAACCGUGUGCCUACAAUCCGUCGGAGCCUUUCGGGGUGACGGCGUGCCUAUCGAAAAAUGAGUCUGCGAGUCAGUGGUGCGUGGCGAGGCUAACCCGUGUGGGGCAGCCGUAGCGAAAGCGAGUCCGAUAAGGGCGUUCCAGUCGCGUGUCCUGGACCCGAAGCGGGAUGAUCUAGCCCUGGGCAGGUUGAAGCGCGGGUAAGACCGCGUGGAGGACCGAACGGACCUGGGUUGAAAACCGGGCCGAUGACCUGGGGCUAGGGGUGAAAGGCCAAUCAAAUUCCGUGAUAGCUGGUUCUCUCCGAAAUGCAUUUCGGUGCAGCGUCGCGUGAGUGCCUCCAUGGGGUAGAGCUACUGGAUGCUUGAGGGCCCGUAUCGGGUACCGACAGCAGCCAAACUCCGAAUACGUGUGAGGUGUAUCGCGGCAGUGAGUCGGCGGGGGAUAAGCUCCGUCGUCGAGAGGGAGACAGCCCAGAUCGUCGUCUAAGGUCCCUAAGCGCGUGCUAAGUGGGAAAGGAUGUGGAGUCGCAUAGACAGCCAGGAGGUUGGCUCAGAAGCAGCCAUCCUUGAAAGAGUGCGUAACAGCUCACUGGUCUAGUGGUUCCGCGCCGAUAAUGUAGCGGGGCUCAAGCACGCCACCGAAGACGCGGCAGCGCAGUUCGCUGUGCUGGGUAGGAGAGCGUUCCGCGUGGGGUGAAGCGGCGGCGUGAGCCGGCCGUGGACCGCGUGGAAGUGAGAAUGCAGACAUGAGUAGCGAGAGGCGGGUGAGAAUCCCGUCCGCUGGAUGACCAAGGGUUCCGGGGCCACGUUCGUCGUCCCCGGGUGAGUCGGGUCCUAAGGCGAGGCCGACAGGCGUAGUCGAAUGGAUGAAGGAGUCGAUAUUCUCCUACCGGCGUCAAGCCGUCCAAUCCAAGACGUGGAAGCGUGCCCUUACCUGUGUCGGGUGGUGGUCUUCGGACCGUCCGAUGGCAUGGGACCGGCGUGUGGAUGCGUGGCGGGUAGCGCGGGAGUGACACGGAACGGGAGCCGGGCCGCGGUGGUGGUUGUCCGUGGUCAAGCAUGUGGCGCGUCGGGCAGGUAAAUCCGUCCGGCAUGAGCGUGAGGUGUGAUGAUGGGGGGUCUUGUGCCCCGAAUCCGGUGUGCCGUUCCGUCGAGAAAAGCUUCGACGUGAGGAGUGGCGCCGCCCGUACCCCAAACCGACACUGGUGGUCAGGUAGAGUAUACCAAAGCGAUCGAGCGAAUCCUGGUCAAGGAACUCGGCAAAUCACUCCCGUGCCUUCGGUAUAAGGGAGGCCCCUGCCGGUGAGGCGCUUCACGCGCGGAGCCGGCGGGGGCGGCACAGACCAGGGGGUAGCGACUGUUUACCAAAAACACAGGUGCAUGCGAAGACGUAAGUCGCUGUAUAUGCACUGACGCCUGCCCGGUGCCGGAAGGUUAAGAGGAUCCGUCAUCCCUCUUCGGAGGGGGCAGCGGUGAAUUCAAGCCCCGGUAAACGGCGGUGGUAACUAUAACCAUCCUAAGGUAGCGAAAUUCCUUGUCGGGUAAGUUCCGACCUGCACGAAUGGCGUAACGACUUCCCCACUGUCUCGACCAGGAGCUCGGCGAAAUUGCAGUACGAGUAAAGAUGCUCGUUAAGCGCAGAAGGACGAAAAGACCCCGGGACCUUUACUAUACCUUGGUAUUGGCGUUAGGUGCGGACUGUGUAGCAUAGGCGGGAGGCUUCGAAGCGGGUGCGCCAGCAUCCGUGGAGCCGGAAUGUGAAAUACCGCUCUGUCCUCAUCUGGCCUCUAACCUCGGCCGGUCAUCCCGGCCAGGGACAGUGCCUGGCGGGUAGUUUAACUGGGGCGGUUGCCUCCCAAAGAGUAACGGAGGCGCCCAAGGGUUCCCUCAGCCCGGUUGGCAAUCGGGUGUUGAGUGCAAUCGCACAAGGGAGCUUGACUGCGAGACCGACGGGUCGAGCAGGGACGAAAGUCGGAGAUAGUGAUCCGGUGCCGGCGUACGGACGCGGCAUCGCUCAACGGAUAAAAGGUACCCCGGGGAUAACAGGCUGAUCAUCCCCAAGAGUCCAUAUCGACGGGAUGGUUUGGCACCUCGAUGUCGGCUCGUCGCAUCCUGGGGCUGGAGCAGGUCCCAAGGGUUCGGCCGUUCGCCGAUUAAAGCGGCACGCGAGCUGGGUUCAGAACGUCGUGAGACAGUUUGGUCUCUAUCCUCUGCGCUCGUUGGAAUCUUGAGGAGCCCUGCCCAUAGUACGAGAGGACCUGGGUGGACGAACCUCUGGUAUGCCGGUUGUCGCGCCAGCGGCACGGCCGGUUGGCUACGUUCGGAUGGGAUAACCGCUGAAAGCAUCUAAGCGGGAAGCCCCCUCCAAGAUAAGGAUUCCAUGAAGCCUUGCGGCUUCUGAAGACCCCAUGCAGAACACAUGGUCGAUAGACCGGACGUGGACACCCCGCAAGGGGCGGAGCCGACCGGCACUAAUGGUCGAAGACAACACAACAACCC